rnacentral:rRNA from 1 species
AACCGGAGUAGUGCAUUGGAAACUGGGGGUCUUGAGUGCAGUAGAGGAGAGUGGAAGUCCAUGUGGAGCGGUGAAAUGCGUAGAUAUAUGGAAGAACACCAGUGGCGAAAGCGGCUCUCUGGUCUGUAACUGACGCUGAGGUUCGAAAGCGUGGGUAGCAAACA